rnacentral:rRNA from 1 species
AGAAUGAACGGAGUCAGACCAUCACACGAACAUUAACCUUGAGAUACAGGGGGUAUAAAUGACUCAUGCUACAUAGACUAGUGUUCUGAUGCAACCAGCAAUCACAAAACAAAUCACAAAUCAAAUGCAUCUAGGGAAAAUUGUAAUAUUAAGAUCGGUGCUAAGCAGUAAGUUAAGGGGAGAUGGACCUUGUCAGCAGCACCACGCCGAGCUGCAAACCCCAGGAUGCGGAUGCCGCCCCAGGGUCCAUGCUAUCUUCACUUGGCGAAUCAACCAAUGCU